UACGUGGGGUGCAAGCGUUGUUCGGAAUUACUGGGCGUAAAGCGUGUGUAGGCGGCCCACUAAGUCUGGUGUGAAAUCCCCAAGCUUAACUUGGGAACUGCAUCGGAAACUGGUGGGCUUGAGUCCGGGAGAGGGUAGCGGAAUUCCAGGUGUAGCGGUGAAAUGCGUAGAUAUCUGGAGGAACACCGGUGGCGAAGGCGGCAUCCUGGACCGGUAUUGACGCUGAGGCGCGAAAGCCAGGGGAGCAAACGGG
rnacentral:rRNA from 1 species